rnacentral:misc_RNA from 1 species
UUUCCGUAGGUGAACCUGCGGAAGGAUCAUUAUUGUAUAACCGAUGUUCGGGGGCUGUCGCUGACCCGACUGGUGGUGCAAGCCCGAUUGCCCUCACACCCAUCCAUCUCACCCCUAUGUGCACCACCGCGUGGGUCCCCGUUUGGCUUGCUAGGAGGGGUGCUUACGUUUUCACACAAACUUUGUAUGCAGUGUAGAAUGUAUUUUUUGUUUUUGCGAUCACGCAAUCAAUACAACUUUCAACAACGGAUCUCUUGGCUCUC